rnacentral:lncRNA from 1 species
CAGGAGGCCCCAGAAAAUCCACUUACAGGAGGCCCCAGAAAAUCCACUUACAGGAGGAAGGCUUUAUUUUGGCUCUUGGUCUCAGUUGUCUCAGUCCUGUGUCACCACCCAUUGCUUUCAGUCUGUGGUGGGGCAGGACUUCAGGGUGGGAGGGGGCGUGCCACCAGGAAGCAAAGAGGAGAAGGGGCUGGUGUCACCGCACCCCCUCAGGGACACUGCUGCAGGACCCACUUCCUCCCACAAGACCCCACAUCCCAAAGGCUCCAGCACAUCCUGAUAGCACCUCAGGUGGGGACCAAGCCUUCAAAACGAGGGUCUUCAGGUCAUUCAAGGCCCAAACCCUGAUGCUGCCUAAAGUUGUUUUUCUUUUUAAAGUAAUUGAAAAAACUAUUUUUUGAUGUUGUGUAAUUGCUUAUCUUGGGAUGGGAAAACAGAGGCAUGAAACCCAGAAGCUGUGUAGACUUUAAGUGUGUGUCCUGCAGGCACAUCCAGAGGAGGCCUCAGUGGUCACUACUGGCUUCUUCUUUUCCCAAUGUUUUGCUUGCCAUUCUGAGCUCUCGCAGUGCCCCCUGCUGCUGACGCUCAUGCAGGGUCCUGGGUUAGGAACUUGUCCCUGGGAGCUAAAGCAGUACACACAUCUGGGUGUUUUCUCAGGGUCAUUGCUCCUGCUUGGGGGCAGCGAUCACACCCGACCCAGCAAAGGGUUAACAUCUGGGGAAAUCGUGGAGUAUGCAGCGGGAACCUGAGGCCGAUCUGCUGGGCAACUGUGCACGGCUGCGGGAGUGAUUCUAUCUCUGGGUUACUUUUAAUCCCCAUUAUUAAAAAUCAGAAAUAGUUUGCUAACCUUGGCCUCAGUGGAGCAGACUUGGAAACUUUGCUCCUGUUUCCUGAGUCAGGACCUUCCUGUCACCCCAGCCCACAUUUGCUACAGGGACAUCCCCAGGAGGUGUUUCCCGGCUGCCCCUUAUCCUUGUUUUGCUGCAUACCUAGAGUUAGGAGGCGGGGUCCCUGUCCCCCAUAGCCUCCUAUGGACCAUGGUUGCCCCCCACCCUCUCAAAAGAGCCAGGAGCUCUCCCUGUUUUGGCCACCUCAGCCCAGGCUCUGGGGACCCUCGCCCCAGUGUUCUCCUGGCUCUUCUGGCUUUAGGUUCAGCAUCCUUGGACGGAGGGACAGACCACCAAACCCCACCUGCUGUAACUGUGGAGACUCUCCAAGUCUAAAUCAGGGACAGCGCAGGCCAAUAGCAGCAAGGGGCUUCCACAGCCAUCGAAGCACAAGGGAGAAGACCAGCCUCAGGGCCUGGCUCCCCCGGGCACAGCAGGCCGGGGAGUCAGGGAGCAGGCAGGCUGGACAGUGGCCUCCCUGAAGUGGUGGACGUGGGAACCUGAUGUGUCUGUGAUUAUUUAUUCAGCUCUGACACCACAUUAAGCAGCCUCCCAGGGGGAGCGCAAUUGGAUUCCCAUGAAUUAAGGCACACGGUGAUGAAACCACAGCGGCAGCAAUUUAAUUUAAAAUGACAGCGUUGCUUCCGAAGGAAACAACAAACAGACUCACUGAGAGAAACCGGGAACCUCGCCUCCGGACAGAGGCAGCCUCAGCACACACCUCCUGGGUCACACAGGGGAGUAGAGGGCUCGUGCUGCAUCACGCGAGGCUCCAGGGUCCACUGUCCACCGCUGAGGCCAGCACCUGGGGCUCUGCAAGUCCAGGCCUGUCUGGGCCCCACACAAUGUCCACCAGGCCCUCUGCUGUGUCCAGAGGUUGGCUUUGCCCAUCUUGUGGGAUUUCACUGGACAGAGGGUAAGAGGUGGCCCAGCCCCUGGCCAACCCCUGGCUCAUAGUAGAUGUCUGUGUGUUGCACCCAGGGGCAUUGCUGACUGUGCCCGGUGGUUUGCUCAUGUGUGGGGUUUAGGACCCACAUGUGCAUCGAGGGGAAGGAUGUACAACAGGGCCAUUGUAGGCAUUUCCAGUCCUUGACCCGAGAUCUGGAGGUGGGCAACUGAGUGGCCUGCCCCUCACAGCCAGGGGACCUGACCCUCCUGCCCCACUUCCUGUGUAGCUUCCUUCCCUGACCCUCCGGCCAGGCCACACAGGCAUCCUGGCCCUGACCCCACCCACAUUUCCCCUGUGCACUGAUUUACGACCUGCUGCC